GAAUAAAGAUAUACCUAUUGAUGAUCAUCCAAAUGCUGUUCAAAUGGUACAUCAAGCUGUUCAUAAACCAGUUAAUAAUACAAUGAUUAAUACUCCAUUCAAUAAUGAUCAUCAAAAAGCUGUUCAAAUAAUCCCGCAAGAUGUUAAUGAAGAAGUCAAUUGUAUUAUGCCAAAAACUACAUCUAUCAACAAUCAUGACCUUGCAAAUCAAACAGUCAAUGAAAAUUUUCAUCAACCAGUA